GCCCCCCGCUCAGCGAUUGGCCGAAAAAUUGGGGCUGGGACGGGAACCGGGAGCCCGGGAUGCGCUGGGCAGGUGAGACAGGUGAGACAGGUGAGAUGGGACAGGUGAGAUGGGACAGGUGAGAUGGACAGGUGAGAUGGACAGGUGAGAUGGGACAGGUGAGACAUGGACAGGUGAGACAUGGACAGGUGAGACAGGUGAGAUGGACAGGUGAGACAUGGACAGGUGAGACAUGGACAGGUGAGAUGGGACAGGUGAGACAUGGACAGGUGAGACAUGGACAGGUGAGACAUGGACAGGUGAGACAUGGACAGGUGAGAUGGACAGGUGAGAUGGGACAGGUGAGAUGGACAGGUGAGAUGGGACAGGUGAGAUGGACAGGUGAGACAGGUGGGACAGGUGAGGUUGGACAGGUGGGAGAGGUGGGACAGGUGACACAGGUGAGAUAUGAACAGGUGAGGUGGGUG
rnacentral:lncRNA from 1 species